GUCAUUUAUAUAGAUCAGUGAUUUUAACCGUUUACCUCAGACGACAGUUUUCAUUUCUAUGGCAAAUUCUAAGGUCAUUUUCUUGUUGUGUUUUGAUGUUUUCCAUUGGCUGAAGACUAAGAUGAGCCUGAAGAGGAGAUUUGGGAAGUCUUUGCUUUGCCAGAUCACCUGUGGUCGAGAUGUUUUCUAACAAGAUGCCUUGUUGGUCUGGGCGAGUUUGAAGUCUUUCACAGACAGUGCAGAAGGUCUGGAGUCCAUCUUAGCUUUUAUUGGUAAGUGACUGCACAAAAGGCUGUUUGACCCACACGUAAAGCAACCAGUCAAUGUUUGCUCUCUUCAGCAUCUCUUGGGGGGGUUAAAUUAUUUUACUUUACUCAGUACUUAGUUGAAGCACCUUUUGAAGUAGCAGUUACAGCCUCAGGUCUUUUUGGGUAUGACACAGCAAUCUUUGCAACUCCUGGAUUGAUUUGUAACCAAAGCGAUCAGAAGCACCAUUCACUUCUAUAGUAUUCUUUUAGCCUACUAUGGAAGUCAAUGGUGCUUCCGGUCAGUUUGGUUACAGACAUUCCUCAAAAUAUCUUCAUAUGUUUAUGCGAACCCAUCAGCAACCAUCAAGAGAAAUUGGAGGUAGCUGAGCUAAAUUGCAGAUAUUGAUGCAAAUGAUCUGAAUAUGUAUAAUGUAAAUAUAAUAUUGCAGUUUUCUUUUUUCAUACAUUUGCAGAAGUUUCUAAAAUUCAGUUUUUACUUUGUCAUGGGGUAUGUAUUGAAGAUUUAUGAGGAAAAUAUCUAAACAAUUACAGUAUCAUGCAACCACCUUAAAAUUUAAAUGUGAAAGGGGUCUACCCUGAAUACUUUCUGAUUGCACUGUAGUGAUCUUGAUUGAAGCUUAUUGUCACCUUUGUAAACACAACAGCUUUCUUCCUUCAUCAGAUGGCUAUGCUAUGUUUCUAGACAGACUAUUAAAGAACACACACACACCCUGAUGUGCAAUAAGAUUUUUUUUAUACAUGGGCUAAAAAUGCAUCAUUUUUGGAAAAUGAAAUAACUUU